GCUCCGGUAGCUCAGUUGGUAGAGCAGUUGACUCUUAAUCAUCAGGUCCACGGUUCGAGUCCGUGUCGGAGUAC
rnacentral:tRNA from 19 species